rnacentral:rRNA from 1 species
AAGAAUAAGCGCAGGUUAAUUAUCUUCCAGCAGCCGCGGUAAUAUGUAGGUUGCAAGCGUUAUUCGAAAUUACUGGGCGUAAAGCGUGCGCAGGCUGUUGUGUAAGUCUCAGUUGAAAUCUGCGGGCUCAUCCUGGCAAACCCCUUUGUGACUGUAGGGCUGGAGAGCGUCAGUGGGGGACAGAAUUCCAGUCUGUAACCGUACAAUGCGUAUAUAUCCGGAGGAACACCUAUCCCGAAGUCAUUCCCCUG